AACGAACGCUGGCGGCAGGCUUAACACAUGCAAGUCGAACGCCCCGCAAGGGGAGUGGCAGACGGGUGAGUAACGCGUGGGAAUCUACCCAUCUCUGCGGAAUAGCUCUGGGAAACUGGAAUUAAUACCGCAUACGCCCUACGGGGGAAAGAUUUAUCGGGGAUGGAUGAGCCCGCGUUGGAUUAGUUAGUUGGGGGGGUAAAGGCCUACCAAGCCGACGAUCCAUACCUAGUCUGAGAGGGUGACCAGCCACAUUGGGAGUGAGACACGGCCCAAACUGCUACGGGAGGCAGAAGUGGGGAAUAUUGGACAAUGGGCGCGAGCCUGAUCCAGCCAUGCCGCGUGAGUGAUGAAGGCCUUAGGGUUGUAAAGCUCUUUCACCGAUGAAGAUAAUGACGGUAGUCGGAGAAGAAGCCCCGGCUAACUUCGUGCCAGCCGCCGCGGUAA
rnacentral:rRNA from 1 species